rnacentral:rRNA from 1 species
CAGCCGCCGCGGUAAUACGAAGGGGGCUAGCGUUGCUCGGAAUGACUGGGCGUAAAGGGCGCGUAGGCGGAUCACGCAGUCAGAUGUGAAAUUCCUGGGCUUAACCUGGGGGCUGCAUUUGAGACGCGUGGUCUAGAGUGUGAAAGAGGGUCGUGGAAUUCCCAGUGUAGAGGUGAAAUUCGUAGAUAUUGGGAAGAACACCGGUGGCGAAGGCGGCGACCUGGUUCAUGACUGACGCUGAGGCGCGAAAGCGUGGGGAGCAAACAGGAUUAGAUACCCCAGUAGUCCCUGUCUCUUAUAC